GAAAUGCGAUAAGUAGUGUGAAUUGCAGAAUUCAGUGAAUCAUCGAAUCUUUGAACGCACAUUGCGCCCUUUGGUAUUCCAAAGGGCAUGCCUGUUCGAGCGUCAUUUGUACCCUCAAGCUUUGCUUGGUGUUGGGCGCCUUGUCUCUAGCUUUGCUGGAGACUCGCCUUAAAGUAAUUGGCAGCCGGCCUACUGGUUUCGGAGCGCAGCACAAGUCGCACUCUCUAUCAGCAAAGGUCUAGCAUCCAUUAAGCCUUUUUUUCAACUUUUGACCUCGGAUCAGGUAGGGAUACCCGCUGAACUUAAGC
rnacentral:misc_RNA from 1 species